UACACUCCUGCGGGAGGCAGCAGUGGGGAAUAUUGGCCAAUGGGCGCAAGCCUGAUCCAGCCAUGCCGCGUGAGUGAUGAAGGCCCUAGGGUUGUAAAGCUCUUUCACCGGUGAAGAUAAUGACGGUAACCGGAGAAGAAGCCCCGGCUAACUUCGUGCCAGCAGCCGCGGUAAUACGAAGGGGGCUAGCGUUGUUCGGAUUUACUGGGCGUAAAGCGCACGUAGGCGGACUAUUAAGUCAGGGGUGAAAUCCCGGGGCUCAACCCCGGAACUGCCUUUGAUACUGGUAGUCUUGAGUUCGAGAGAGGUGAGUGGAAUUCCGAGUGUAGAGGUGAAAUUCGUAGAUAUUCGGAGGAACACCAGUGGCGAAGGCGGCUCACUGGCUCGAUACUGACGCUGAGGUGCGAAAGCGUGGGGAGCAAACAGGAUUAGAUACCCCGGUAGUCCCAUG
rnacentral:rRNA from 1 species